GCGCAGAAGGCCUGAGAUUGAGCAGCACCGGGCCCUGGGGAGCCAGAGUAGCGGGUAGAGCGAGGAGGGGCGCCCCGCUCGCCCCCACGCACACACCUCCGCUUGGAGUGAGAGAGGAAGGCGUGAGCGAGUGGAGAGGCCAAGGCGUUCUGGGUGGGCGCUCGAGGCCCCACCCAGGAACCUGGUCGGUCUGGAGCUCAAGGUUAGGUUGUGGCCCGGAGUAGCCCACGCUCGCCACGGUCAGUCCUGGAAGCCUGGUCGGGGGCCGCCCAGCCUGGAGAGGGUUUUUUUUUUUUUUUUUUUUAAACACCGCAGCUCUGAUCUGCGUGGUUGCGGCCCCCAGCAGCGAAAGCAAGAGCGGGGAGCGGCUCACCUACCUUUCACAACCGCGCCGUCCUCCUGCGUCUUCCCAAGAGGAAUCCUGGGCUUCUAGGGACGAAGUAUAGGGCUAUUGUGAAAAUCUGCUAUGAACAUUCCUGAGAUGUCUUUUGAUAGACACCUGCAUUUGGAGACCCUGGAGUGGAAACAUCAGGUAGUAAGAGUGUCCAAUGAGAAGAAUGUCAUUGACCUAAUGUAUGUCACAUCUAAUGAACAUCAUCAAUUUAAUGUCAUACCUGUGUUCCUGAAGAAAGUUGGAUGUAAUAAAGAUCUUGCUGGUGAAGAUUG